rnacentral:ncRNA from 2 species
UACGGAGGGUCCGAGCGUUAAUCGGAAUUACUGGGCGUAAAGCGCACGCAGGCGGUUUGUUAAGCUAGAUGUGAAAGCCCCGGGCUCAACCUGGGAAUCGCAUUUAGAACUGGCAGGCUAGAGUUUUGGAGAGGGGAGUGGAAUUCCAGGUGUAGCGGUGAAAUGCGUAGAUAUCUGGAGGAACAUCAGUGGCGAAGGCGACUCCCUGGUCAAUAACUGACGCUCAUGUGCGAAAGUGUGGGUAGCGAACAGG